AUGGAAACAGGAGUUCUUAAUGUACUUGAUGGCGACUGGCAAAUCAACGGAACCGGAAAAGAGAAAACUUGCAAAUUUCUUGUGGCUAGUGGGAAGAAAAGGUACACAAAUGGUACACAGAAUUCUAUGCUUGGAACAGUAACAACGGAAAGCAGUGUUCAGCAACGCACAAUGGAGGAGGUGCUUAAAAAGUUUGAUGAAUUUUGCCUACCACAACGAAAUAAUGCAAUGGAGUCUUACAAAUUCAACAUGAUUACACAAAAAGAGCGUCAACCUUUUAGUGAAUUUGAAACAAACUUGCGGGAACAGCUACAUCAUUGUGAAUUCGUAUGUGAGUGUGGCAAAUCAUACCAAAACCGAAUGCUGCGUGACCGUAUUAUCAUCGGAGUGCAUGACAAAAAACUACAACUGAAACUUCUGGACGGGCGUGAUGACAUUUGUCAAAAGUCAUUGAUACUUGCAAAGCACAUGAAGCAGCCUCUAUCCAUAAAGGAAUACUGGAAGGAAACCAGUCGGUUAAUAUCAUCAAAGACGACGGACCUGUAAUUAAUGCGAUUAAUAGAGUUUGCUUCAACUGCGGGGGACCAUGGAAAUUUGGUCACAAAGACGAAUGCAAAGCAAAGGACAUAACGUGUCAUCGUUGUGCAAAAAAGGGUCAUUUCCAAAGGAUGUGCCGAAAGCGGAAAUCUCAAACCAUGGGCGUGAAGACAGCAAGCCAGAAGGAAAACAAGAACGAAGGAGGUAUGGCAGGCUCUAGUAGCAAUAAUUCACAAGAAUAAAUUCAAUCGGAGUAAAACACAAGAGGAGGACCAAAGACUAUCAGAUAGGCGGACAGAUAGUUACAUUUAAGCUAGACAGCGGAUCCGAUGUAAACUGCAUUCAAAGAAAUCUACUUGAAAAACUUAAAAAGGAAAAUAAUCUUAAGCUUAAUUAUGAAUUGAAUGAAAUGUUGGCUUUGGAUUAUAAUGGCAACAUGAUAAAAGUAUAUGGAUCAGUA